ACUCAGUUACUUCAAGUUACUUGUUACUUUCAAAGUAACUAGUUCCUAGGGAAAGUAACUUUGGUUUUACUCAGAAUUCUCUUAUUAAUGUUUUGCUUCCCUAACUGGAUACCAGCAAGGAUGCCAGUCUUCUAGCUUGCUUACAUGUUAGCACUAUCCUGCCACAAGUGCACUGUGCCACCUAAUGGCCUGAACCUAAAAUGGCAGUGUAAAAAAUAUAGUGCAAAAAUGGUUCAACAUAAAUACAGUGAGGUUUGUCCAUUCUUUGUAAACUUAACUGAAAACAGUUGAACUGCACCAACUGGAGAACUCAUGUUCAGUAAUAACGGGCAAACUUAAAAGUAUUUUCAGCCUCGCAAAGAGAAAUACAAUAAAUAAUAAGUAUUUUCAGCCUCAUAAAUAGUCAAUAUUUAACCAAAAUAAUAUUUCCUCCAGUCAGGCCAUGUAGAUAAAUAAAAUAUAAUGGUAGAUUAAGUGCUUCAGUGGUCUAAGAUUCUAGCCUACGUCACAGAGUCACGUGCGCUUUUUACGGCCAACACGGAAACUGCAGUCGUGGUGCUUUCGAUUGUACUCGGAACUCAGGAAUUCUGCCUUCCAAGUAGGAAGAUGUAGGUAACUCCAGACUGCAGAUGAGCUGCAUGUGUUUAAUAGUAAUUUGUUUUUGUAGAGGGCUAGCAAAACAACCGUUUUCGAGGGCGUCGCCAUAUUGGAAUCCCGACUUGUCUGACGAGGCUAACCGGAGCGCCUUUUACUCGAGUGUGAGUCCUGCUUCCCACUCUCACCAUGGACACAAGAAGUCCUCGUGGGACAGAACCAGUGUGAAAACUACAGAAGGUGAUCUGAGCAGGAGGAGGCCAGGAAAGAUUACAUGUGUCCUUAAAACUGCCCAGCAGGCUGUUUUGAUGAUAGACGACUCACCUUGAUUGAGAUAGAAGUUGCUGAUGGUGACCAGGUGACCUGCAGCGAGGAAGAGGAGGAAAGUUUGUCCAGAAGCUUUUCCUGAGGAGUCAGCGUCUGUCUCUGCACUGGACGACAGAGACAGAAAGGUCACGACCUACUUCGGUAUCACAUAGAGCUUCUGCAGAGCAUGGCAAGACUCCACGCUCUGCUCUAAGGUCAAAGUUCAUGGUUAUAGAAGCGCUGAAGAAGGUGCUUAACGUUUAAAAUGAAGAGAACAACAGCGGCUUGUACUGUGUGCAGCUCAGCUUACUGAGGACCUCGGCGAGGACCGAGGACGUCGUGCUGCUGUCUGAGACGGAAACCGAAAUGAAAGCGACGCCCGACCUGAAACACAAAAACACAGCCACGAGUCGCCUCCAUCCUUCAGCGAGUUCCUGUUGUCCGGGCCGCCGUUGCGGUUCAGGAUGUCGUCGCUGUGCAGACGCUGCAGGCCGCCGAUUUCGUGCAGCUCGAAGUCCUGAGGGUCGUCUGGGAGGUAGAAGGCCCUCAGCGCCGCCUCCUGAAGGACAACACAGGUUUUUGGGAGGAAGCAGAGCCCUCACCACCACUUCCUCAUUCUUCGUGAUUGAGACCAGUCGGAAGAAACCGCGCUUCACUGCAUCGUCACCAUCAAACACCUUGAGAAACUGUUUACCUGUAGGUCACAG